UACCAGUAAAAGAUGCCGACUAUCCUGGCGUGCGGCGUAGGCGGUUCGCCGCCCGUCGGCGCAUGCCGGGAACAGAGAAAUCGAUAAGUGUUCGGGCUCUGGGGAUAGUAUGCUCGCAAGAGUGAAAAUUAAAGAAAUUGACGGAGCUACACCACAAG
rnacentral:rRNA from 1 species